rnacentral:rRNA from 1 species
UACGUAGGGGGCGAGCGUUGUCCGGAUUUACUGGGCGUAAAGGGCGCGCAGGCGGUCUGGUAAGUUUGGAGUGACAGUGCUCGGCUUAACUGAGCAAGGCCUUCGAAAACUGCCAGACUUGAGCACUCAAGAGGGACAUAGAAUUCCGGGUGGAGUGGUGAAAUGCGUAGAUAUCCGGAGGAAUACCAAAGGCGAAGGCAGUGUCCUGGGGAGUGUCUGACGCUCAGGCGCGAAAGCUAGGGGAGCGAACAGG